rfam:Glycine max cultivar Williams 82 chromosome 8, whole genome shotgun sequence.
GGGCAGUGAUGACUAAAUCUAUAUAUACCAUCAAACUAUGAGAGCUUAAUUGAGCUUGUUGAUGCCAUCAAUUUUCUGAGCCU